AUGACUCCCUUCUCUUUUCACGGAGUCAGUGAAGUGAAGUGAAUAAGGUAGAGUUAGAUCUGGCCGUACACAUCCACACGCGCGCUGAUGACACUGGGAUCUUAAGAUCCGACGGCUCUAGAUAACCCGAAAAUCUAGCGAGAAAUUGACUUGAGAGAUAGGCGAUCUGGACCGUCGGUGUCAACUUGGUAGGACCCACUACUGCACCUGUCACG